rnacentral:rRNA from 1 species
UACGUAGGGGGCAAGCGUUGUCCGGAUUUAUUGGGCGUAAAGAGCGUGUAGGCGGCCAGGUAGGUCUGCUGUGAAAACUCGAGGCUUAACCUCGAGAUGUCGGCGGAAACCAUCUGGCUAGAGUCCGGAAGAGGAGAAUGGAAUUCCCGGUGUAGCGGUGAAAUGCGCAGAUAUCGGGAAGAACACCCGUGGCGAAGGCGGCAUCCUGGACCGACACUGACACUGAGGAGCGAAAGCCAGGGGAGCAAACGGG